CUGAGCCGAUCACCAUGUUCAUUGAGAAAGCAGUUUGCCUCCUUGCCACCCUCGCUAUGCUGGUCGCAAUAGCUGUGGCAUGUCCAGAUUACUCAGAUUCUGCAAACAGAAAACAUUGAGAAGUGAUGAGCUACAUCUGCUGAAGCCUGUAACCACUACAGACAUUGUGUGAUCCAUUAAAAUAAAACAGUCAUGCAUUUCUA